rnacentral:rRNA from 1 species
CUUUACUGUAGCCUGGUAUUGGGUUCGGGCUUUGACUGCGCAGGAUAGGUGGGAGACUGAGAAGUAGUUCUUGUGGGAACUAUGGAGUCAACGGUGAGAUACCACUCUGUCAGAGCUAGAAUUCUAACCUUCACCCAUUAUCUGGGGAAGGAACCGUAUCAGGGGGGCAGUUUGACUGGGGCGGUCGCCUCCUAAAGUGUAACGGAGGCGCGCAAAGGUGUUCUCAGGCUGGUUGGAAAUCAGCCGUAGAGUGUAAAGGCAGAAGAACGCUUGACUGUGAGAGUGACAACUCGAGCAGGGUGGAAACACGGCCUUAGUGAUCCGACGGUAUGUGCGUGGAAACGCCGUCGCUCAACGGAUAAAAGUUA